rnacentral:rRNA from 1 species
UACGAAGGGGGCUAGCGUUGCUCGGAUUUACUGGGCGUAAAGGGCGCGUAGGCGGAUAUCCAAGUCAGAGGUGAAAGCCCAGGGCUCAACCCUGGAAUUGCCUUUGAAACUCGAUGUCUGGAGUACGGGAGAGGUGAGUGGAACUCCGAGUGUAGAGGUGAAAUUCGUAGAUAUUCGGAAGAACACCAGUGGCGAAGGCGACUCACUGGCCCGUUACUGACGCUGAGGCGCGAAAGCGUGGGGAGCAAACAGG